AUUGAACGCUGGCGGCAGGCUUAACACAUGCAAGUCGAGCGGGGUGAUGGUGCUUGCACUAUCACUUAGCGGCGGACGGGUGAGUAAUGCUUAGUAAUCUGCCCAUUAGUGGGGGACAACAUCCCGAAAGGAAUGCUAAUACCGCAUACGCCCUACGGGGGAAAGCAGGGGAUCUUCGGACCUUGCGCUAACAGAUGAGCCUAAGUCGGAUUAGCUAGUUGGUGGGGUAAAGGCCUACCAAGGCGACGAUCUGUAGCGGGUCUGAGAGGAUGAUCCGCCACACUGGGACUGAGACACGGCCCAGACUCCUACGGGAGGCAGCAGUGGGGAAUAUUGGACAAUGGGCGGAAGCCUGAUCCAGCCAUGCCGCGUGUGUGAAGAAGGCCUUUUGGUUGUAAAGCACUUUAAGCGAGGAGGAGGCUCCUUUAGUUAAUACCUAAAGAGAGUGGACGUUACUCGCAGAAUAAGCACCGGCUAACUCUGUGCCAGCCGCCGCAGUAA
rnacentral:rRNA from 1 species